AGGAUGUUAGCUCAGUUGGUUCAGAGCGCCGCUUUGACAGAGCGGAGGUCAGCAGUUCGAGCCUGCUACGUCCUA
rnacentral:tRNA from 1 species